UAGGAGUAGUUUACAUAACUACACCAUAACACUUCAACAAGUUCCAAAUAUCAUCAAAUUCACGUUCAGGAAGUGCGAAGUAAAAUAUACCCUUACUAUCAAAAUAUGGUCAAUUGAAGAUUCAAGAGUUAGUUUAGAAAAAAAAUUCAGCCUAUUACAUUGGCACUUUGUUUUCACAUUAUUAAAGUAUGGAUGAUUUUCCAUGUUGUGUGUUUCAACUCGAGCUCUUCUAUAGUUGUUAGCUAAUUUUCCGUGAGAGAGUAGUAGAAAAGAAGUCAAAUCAACACUUCCUUUUGGCAUUAAUGAAAAAUAUAAUUACUAUAGUGUGCAACAACUUUCAGUUUCCUUCGGUUCAAGAGAUUUUAUUUGGACUUCCAUACAGUAGUGUAUUAUGACUUGGAAUAGAAUUUUUUUUUUUUUUUUUUUUUGAAACGAUUUUGUAUUCAUAUCUUCAUUUCUACUGUGACAUUUAAGUGUUGAUGAGAUUACUCAUUAUGUGGAUAAACACAUAAUUUGAUAUAUAAGGAGACUACAUUAAUCAAUAAUGUAGUGCACAUUUAGUGACCAGAAAUGGUGGUUCUUGCCGCCAUUUUGGGAAUUUUGAGUUGUCUCGAAAGUACUUUCUAUGUGUCUCUGAGUACACUUAUCGACUUUGACAAGAAAAGAAAUAGUUUCAUUCCUGUCGCUGCAGCUUCAAAAAUAAAAACAUGUGGUGUAUGUGUCGAGGAUUUCUUCUCAUCUAAAGUUAUCGGAGAUAGAGAUCAUGGACUGUUGGAUCUUUACUCCACAAGAUGUUUUCAACAUUGAAAAUUAGGUUUAUUCAUAUUCGAAAUUUCCAUGUGACAAAGCUGUUUUUCUCUAUCUUGGUUCCAAUUAGUCAAUGAUAUGUGCUGUAUUUUUAAAUUUUGGUGUAAGUUUUUCUCCAUCUUUCUUCGUUUAUUGCACCCCCAGUUAUUGAUAAUAAGAGGUGGUAUCUGUAGGUUUGUUAAUUUCUGAUAAUUUCUUGUUAGUAUAUCAAAUUUUGCUUGCAUAUUUGAAAAUAGAUAACUAGAAUCAUGAUAUUGGAUAUUUAACGAAUAUGAAGCUGCUAUUUUUUUUCUUUGGGUAAUCAAACUUAAUCCCUUUUUCCUCUUCAAUUAAUAAAAUCGCGACGGAUUAUACCUCGAAUUUUCGUGAUGUUUUGCCAUUUUUCACUCUGUUGGCCUGUCAAGUUGUCCUUUUGUGACUGAAUAUCAAGUUGCAAUGUUUAAUAUCUUGGUCUUGCAAACAAAAGGUUGAGCUAAUGGGAAAAAAUCUCCACAGUAGACGACAUAUUAGGUGCUUAGGUUCCAGAAAAACAAUGUUAUAUGAAAUAACUAUAAAAAUAAUUUCCACGAGGUUAUUAUCCACUUAAAAGAGGUCGUUUUGUUUGAUAAAUUUAGUUCUGUGUGUAAACUUUUGAGUUUGAUAAGUAUUUUCAAAUGGUGAACAUGUGUUCUUCUUGCUUGCUUUUAAUUUUUGUCUUUCCUUCCUAGCAAGGUGGAUUUUUAAUGGUGAGAAUCUUCUCCUCUCCUUUUUAAUUUCUUUCUGUGAGUACUUUGCGAAAUAUGUACGUCAUAUAAUAACUACUCUAUUGGAUCAUUGUGCGCACUGAUGCACGACACUAUUGGAGGAAUACACUUUUUGGUUACUUGACACCCAUUGCACUUGGUUACUGUAAGUGAUUCAACUUAUCUCCUUGCAUUAGCGAUUCAAUUAGCUAACUCAGUGGAAUGACCAUUUCAUACAUAGCAUUCUGUUAAUAAAUUGAAUGUAGCUGCUUGUCAUAUAUUAAAUUAGCACUGCUUGAUAUAUGGUUUUAAGGACUGAAAGCACAAACAUUAGAAAAAUGAAAUUAGACCUAUUUAUUUUAUGGUUACUAAUAAUCGGACUAACCGUUAAAAUCACACCAGUAGCUUUAAUAUAGAUUCUUCUUCAUUAUAUCAAUCUGUUGCAUGCUUUGUUGUUGUCAAAAAAGAUAAGAAUGGUAUAAAUUCCUUCUUCAUGUCUUAAUAUCUAUUUCUUUCUCAAAAAGAUAUUUAUUUCUUUAAGAAGUACCUGGUACUGAAUGACCAUUUUAACUUUAUAAUCAAUUGAGAUGAAAUUUUAGGAGAUUAAUAUUGUUGUUUAGUGAUUUUGAACUUAAUGCCACUAUUUCAUCUUUUGUGACAGCUUGUGGGUGAUUCUGAGACAGGUUUGAGAUCAAUUACCUUAUCAGCAUAAAGUCCUUCAGUGAUUCGAGAGGUAUCUAUGUCAUGAAGUACUAAAUUAUUCAGGGAAAGGUUUAUUGUUGAGCUCAACUCAUGAUUCAAUACUGAUGUUUAUUCUGAAUUUGACAAAGACACUAGCUGUGGCUGUUUAAUUGUUGCAGAGUAGCUUCAAAGCUCGUGAAGUUGUAGUAGCUGUGUGUAAUGAACAACUCAAUAAUCACAUUGAUAUAGAGAACAACUUUUGAAUAGUGCUACUUUUGUAGGUAUGAGGAACGCCUAUUGAAUUACUUGCAAUUUUCGAACCUGCCAUAGAACAUCUAUCCCUUGAUAAAAGAAAGCUUCCGAACAACUUUAAGGUGAAUAUUUAUGAUGAAAAUAGGCCAUUGUUUAAUUUUCAACAUUACAGAAUCAUGGCAACGGAAGUGACUACGUUGCUUUCUGGAACUUGGAAAUGCAAAGUUGGGGUAGAUCUAAAUCACGAGUCUGGACAGUAUAUUAUAUGGGAAACCCAUCUAUGUGACGUUGAAGUUAUGAAUCGAAGGAUUCUCUUUCAUUCCGUGGGUGGUGUGAAGCUGAGAUAGAUUUCUAUUUCGAUGAAGCUAGCAAGAUAAUCUUAUGUUUCUGCUUCUGCUCAACUCUUCACUUAU